rnacentral:rRNA from 1 species
AGUGAACGCUGGCGGUAGGCCUAACACAUGCAAGUCGAACGGCAGCACAGUAAGAGCUUGCUCUUACGGGUGGCGAGUGGCGGACGGGUGAGGAAUACAUCGGAAUCUACUUUUUCGUGGGGGAUAACGUAGGGAAACUUACGCUAAUACCGCAUACGACCUACGGGUGAAAGCAGGGGAUCUUCGGACCUUUCGCGAUUGAAUGAGCCGAUGUCGGAUUAGCUAGUUGGCGGGGUAAAGGCCCACCAAGGCGACGAUCCGUAGCUGGUCUGAGAGGAUGAUCGGCCACACUGGAACUGAGACACGGUCCAGACUCCUACGGGAGGCAGCAGUGGGGAAUAUUGGGCAAUGGGCGCAAGCCUGAUCCAGCCAUACCGCGUGGGUGAAGAAGGCCUUCGGGUUGUAAAGCCCUUUUGUUGGGAAAGAAAAGCAGCAGGUUAAUACCCCGCUGUUCUGACGGUACCCAAAGAAUAAGCACCGGCUAACUUCGUG